GUGUUGGGGGGAAAUCCCACCGAACUUCCCAGAUUUUUAUCAUAUAUCCCUUUUUAGAAUAGAAAGAGUCCCGAAAUGCUACUGGACACUCUGCCAAAAAAUCCCCGCACCGAACUUAAAAAGAAAAAGUUGACCUUCCUCUAACCUUGACACGAGGGACACUUUCUAUUAUAUGAUAAAAAUCUGGGAAGUUUGGUGGGAUUUCCCCCCAACACAACAACACUUUCUAUUCCAACCAUUUAAAAGGAGCAAGCACUUUGAGAGGCUAACCUCAGUUCAGAAGAAAAACUAGUCUGUACAAGAUGAAAUUUUGUCUGCGUUCGGUAAUUUUGCUCGUGACCACCGUUUUGAUGUCAAACGUGUCGGCUCGCAAUUGGAAGGAAGGCGAUGGUGGCCUAAUUCGUUGGGACUUUGACUGCAAUUUCAAUCUACACGAUAUUCAGUUCGUGCCCACCUUGCCCGAGCAAUGUGGAGGAACCUGUAUCGCGAAUCCGCAAUGCACCCAUUUCACCCACGUUGGUGGUACUUGCGCUUUGAAGAGAAACACUGGUAGCGGAUUCCGCGAAGACAGCCUCUCCGGCCAUACUUGUGGUUUCGUGUUGAAUCGUAGCGGACAACCGUUCCCGUGAAACCAGCAACCAAACGAUGAAAUGCACUAUUUGAAACGGCUUCUUAUGGGAUAAUGUACUUCCAGUUUUUUUGCAAUUUUUUUUUGUAUUAAUCGCAUCUUUUAUUUUUUAAUACACUUUUUUUGGCAUGAGAA